GUGUGCGUUUCUCAGGUGGCAGCUUGUCCUUCUCCUGUCUGGCCUGCUCCAGCAGCUGUUUCCUCAUCACAGUGAACACCGAACGCAGCAGUGUCCGGCCGAAGAUCUGCGUGGUCUCGUAGCGGGGUAGGCUGUCACAGGACUGAGGCACGUUGCAGUAGCAGAGCCAUCUGUGGUGCAGAAAUGACUUAGUUUUAACACUAUGCCUGCAAAACAGGUGCGAUGCAUGUUAACAGGGCAUCUGGCAGUGCUGCUACCUCGUGUAGUUGGCUUUGUAUCCAGCUGCAUCAUCAUUUGGAACCCUCUGGCGUCUCUGGGAGGGUGUCUCCAGCUGCCAGUAGUUGAUCUGGUUGAGAAACAUCUUGGCCAGCUCUAUAAUGGUUUGACGUUCCUUAGAUGGUAGGUGGCUGAAUUUGUACUGGACAAAAUUGUUUACGCCCUGUUUGGGAAAGAGAAAAUAAACAAAUGGGAAUGUGGACACACUAAAACACUAGUUUGUGUUGAACAGUGUUGCCUUUGAUACACAUGUAGAAAUGGGACUACCUGCUCGAUGCUGGGUUUUUCAAAUGGAGGACUCUCCUGUGCUUCUAACAUCGGUUUACCCAUCUGUAGGAUGGAUUUCCUCAACAGCUGAAAAAAGAAGCAGAAAAGGGAUGGGUCACAUGAUCACCUAGGAAGAGAAGAAUAACCCUUAAAAUGGUUGUAACCCAGAAGACUUGCUGACAUACCCAAGGUAUGAGAGCAGCUCCGGCAGGGCUCCUGCAGGUUGACUGUACUGGACUGCUGGUCAGUUCGUGGGGGUGUAGGAGGGGGGUUCUGACUUUUCCAGCCAUUACACUUACAGGCUCCCUCCGCCUAGGAAAAACACAGUUUCACUGAGUACAAGCAGGAAUAAAGACGAGAGGGUGGUAAAUCCACUUUGCAUCAAAGUUUUUAACCUGUGCAACAUAGAUUCAUACUCAACUGUCACAAUGAUUAGCAAUAAACUGAUGCAGGUUUUA